rnacentral:snoRNA from 1 species
AUUCCAUGAUGUGGACAUUCUAGGAUGUAGUCUUGAAAGCGCUCCGAUGCUUCUGGAACAGAUUCAUCAUUUUGUUGCUGAAAACUUGUAAUCUUCCCACGGAGAGC